GGUGAAAAUACCAUCUCUAAUAGUCGUCGGUAAAAUAAUUAUGAGCGAUGGAAUCGUUACCAUUAGUAAUGCCGUCAGUAAUAGAUAUAUUAGCGAUGGUAAAAAUACCAUCGCUAAUGAUCGUCAUUAAUACCUUAAUUUCUUGUAGUGUUUAUUGAUCAUAUGCAACUACACCUCCAACUUUGGAUGUUCUUUGGAGGAGUAUGAAGCUCUGUUAGAGUUUAGAUCUUCUCUCCUUCACAACAAUUACACUUCACCACCUACAUAUGGGUC
rnacentral:lncRNA from 1 species